rnacentral:rRNA from 1 species
GCAAAAUCAAGAAUAGAGCGUCGCGCCUGACCAGUGACAAUUAGUUUAACGGCCGCGGUAUUUUGACCGUGCUAAGGUAGCGUAAUCACUUGUCUUUUAAAUGAAGACCUGUAUGAAUGGUAUGACGAGGGCUUAACUGUCUCCUCACUCUAGUCAAUGAAAUUGAUCUUCCCGUGCAGAAGCGGGAAUAAAUACAUAAGACGAGAAGACCCUAUGGAGCUUUAGAUACUAGAAUAGACCAUGUUAAUAAACUCUAAAUUAAAGAAUUGAACCUAAUGGAAUACUAUUUUUAUAUCUUCGGUUGGGGCGACCAUGGGGAAAUAUAAAACCCCCACGUGGAAUAAGAGAACCAACCCAUAAUCAACCCUCUUAAAAACAUAGAGCCACACCUCCAAUUAACAGAACUUCUGACCAAAAAUGAUCCGGCAAUGCCGAUCAACGGACCAAGUUACCCUAGGGAUAACAGCGCAAUCCCCAUUUUAGAGCCCUUAUCAACAAAGGGGUUUACGACCUCGAUGUUGGAUCAGGACAUCCUAAUGGUGCAAACGCUAU